AACGAACGCUGGCGGCAUGCCUAACACAUGCAAGUCGAACGAGACCUCCGGGUCUAGUGGCGCACGGGUGCGUAACGCGUGGGAACCUGCCUUUAGGUUCGGAAUAAUUCAGUGUAAUUUGAGCUAAUACCGGUUGAUGUCUUCGGACCAAAGAUUUAUCGCCUUUAGAUGGGCCCGCGUUGGUUUAGCCAGUUGGUGGGGUAAAGGCCUACCAAGGCGACGAUCCAUAGCUGGUCUGAGAGGAUGAUCAGCCACACUGGGACUGAGACACGGCCCAGAGUCCUACGGAAGGGAGCAGUGGAGAAUAUUGGACAAGGGGCGAAAGCCUGAUCCAGCAGUGCCGCGUGAGUGAUGAAGGCCUUAGGGUUGUGAAGCUCUUUUACCCGAGGUGAUAAUGACGGUAACGGGAGAAUAAGCACCGGCUAACUCCGUG
rnacentral:rRNA from 1 species